rnacentral:misc_RNA from 1 species
GUUCGAGCGUCAUUUCAACCCUCAAGCUUAGCUUGGUCUUGGGCCAUGCCGGGAACGGCCGGCCUUAAAACUAGUGGCCGUGCCGCCGGGCUCUACGCGUAGUAAUUACUUCCUCGCGUUUGGGUCCCGGUGGACGCUGGCCAGCAACCCCAAUUUUUCUGGUUGACCUCGGAUCAGGUAGGGAUACCCGCUGAACUUAA